rnacentral:rRNA from 1 species
GACGAACGCUGGCGGCGUGCCUAAUACAUGCAAGUUGAGCGCUGAAGGUUGGUACUUGUACCAACUGGAUGAGCAGCGAACGGGUGAGUAACGCGUGGGGAAUCUGCCUUUGAGCGGGGGACAACAUUUGGAAACGAAUGCUAAUACCGCGUAAAAACUUUAAACACAAGUUUUAAGUUUGAAAGAUGCAAUUGCAUCACUCAAAGAUGAUCCCGCGUUGUAUUAGCUAGUUGGUGAGGUAAAGGCUCACCAAGGCGAUGAUACAUAGCCGACCUGAGAGGGUGAUCGGCCACAUUGGGACUGAGACACGGCCCAAACUCCUACGGGAGGCAGCAGUAGGGAAUCUUCGGCAAUGGACGAAAGUCUGACCGAGCAACGCCGCGUGAGGGAAGAAGGUUUUCGGAUCGUAAAACUCUGUUGGUAGAGAAGAACGUUGGUGAGAGUGGAAAGCUCAUCAAGUGACGGUAACUACCCAGAAAGGGACGGCUAACUACGUG